rnacentral:tRNA from 1 species
CCGGUUUAGCAGAAGUUUAAUGUUUAUGAUUUAGGUUCAUGGGGUGUAUUAUUAUACAGCUGGU